CACGAACGCUGGCGGCAGGCUUAACACAUGCAAGUCGAGCGCCCCGCAAGGGGAGCGGCAGACGGGUGAGUAACGCGUGGGAAUCUACCCAUCUCUACGGAAUAACGCAUGGAAACGUGUGCUAAUACCGUAUACGUCCUUCGGGAGAAAGAUUUAUCGGAGAUGGAUGAGCCCGCGUUGGAUUAGCUAGUUGGUGGGGUAAAGGCCUACCAAGGCGACGAUCCAUAGCUGGCCUGAGAGGAUGAUCAGCCAAACUGGGACUGCGACACGGCCCAGACACAUACGGGAGGCAGCAGUGGGGAAUAUUGGACAAUGGGUGAAAGCCUGAUCCAGCAAUGCCGCGUGAGUGAUGAAGGCCUUAGGGUUGUAAAGCUCUUUUACCCGGGAUGAUAAUGACAGUACCGGGAGAAUAAGCCCCGGCUAACUCCGUGCCAGCCGCCGCGGUAAAAC
rnacentral:rRNA from 1 species